rnacentral:rRNA from 1 species
CGCUAGAUUGAACGCUGGCGGCGUGCUUAACACAUGCAAGUCGCGCGUGAAAGGACUUCGGUCCGAGUAAAGCGGCGCACGGGUGAGUAACGCGUGGAUGAUCUACCCAUGAGUUAGGAAUAACGGCUGGAAACGGUCGCUAAUACCAAAUACGUUCCGAUUUCAACUUCGGGGGAAAGGUGGCCUCUGCUUGCAAGCUACUGCUCAUGGAUGAGUCCGCGUCCCAUUAGCUAGUUGGUGGGGUAACGGCCCACCAAGGCGACGAUGGGUAGCCGGUCUGAGAGGAUGACCGGCCACACUGGGACUGGAACACGGCCCAGACUCCUACGGGAGGCAGCAGUGGGGAAUAUUGCGCAAUGGGCGAAAGCCUGACGCAGCGACGCCGCGUGAGGGGAAUGAAGGUCCUCGGAUCGUAAACCUCUGUCAGGAGGGAAGAACCGCCACGGUGCUAAUCAGCCGUGGUCUGACGGUACCCCCAAAGGAAGCACCGGCUAACUCCGUGCCAGCCGCUGC